rnacentral:rRNA from 1 species
AUUGAACGCUGGCGGCAGGCUUAACACAUGCAAGUCGAGCGGAGCGAGGGUGCUUGCACCUUAGCUUAGCGGCGGACGGGUGAGUAAUGCUUAGGAAUCUGCCUAUUAGUGGGGGACAACAUUCCGAAAGGGAUGCUAAUACCGCAUACGCCCUACGGGGGAAAGCAGGGGAUCUUCGGACCUUGCGCUAAUAGAUGAGCCUAAGUCGGAUUAGCUAGUUGGUGGGGUAAAGGCCUACCAAGGCGACGAUCUGUAGCGGGUCUGAGAGGAUGAUCCGCCACACUGGGACUGAGACACGGCCCAGACUCCUACGGGAGGCAGCAGUGGGGAAUAUUGGACAAUGGGGGGAACCCUGAUCCAGCCAUGCCGCGUGUGUGAAGAAGGCCUUUUGGUUGUAAAGCACUUUAAGCGAGGAGGAGGCGCUCUAGGAUAAUACCCUAGAUGCGUGGACGUUACUCGCAGAAUAAGCACCGGCUAACUCUGUGCCAGCAGCCGCAGUAAUAU